rnacentral:snRNA from 1 species
GUGCUCACGAUUCAGCAGCACAAAUAUUAAAAUUGGAAUGAUACAGAGAACAUUAGCAUGGCCCCAUGCAAGAGUGGCACACAAACUCAUGAAACGUUAUGUAUAUUU